AUUGAACGCUGGCGGCAUGCUUUACACAUGCAAGUCGAACGGUAACAGGGAGCUUGCUCCGCUGACGAGUGGCGAACGGGUGAGUAAUAUAUCGGAACGUACCCAAGAGUGGGGGAUAACGUAGCGAAAGUUACGCUAAUACCGCAUACGAUCUAAGGAUGAAAGCAGGGGACCGCAAGGCCUUGCGCUCCUGGAGCGGC
rnacentral:rRNA from 1 species